GAGAAGCACACAAAACUCAAUCGACACCCACUGGGCGGUGACAAAUAAGCUGGGGGUGGUGCUCGCGAUUCGCAUUAAUAGGGUUGCUAAUUAUUAACGUUUGCUGCCCAAGCCCGGUUUCUGGAUUUCCGUUCCCCAAACGCCAAGCUUCCAAGCCACCACAUUCACCAUUCCAGCCCUAUUGUGGCUUGGCGCCUAGUGUGUCGACGACUCUCAUAAUGAGUUUUUUCUGGCUGCAGUUUUGUUGCUUGGGCUGCGACAAAUGCGGCAGUGCAUCAUGUCGGGGCAAAAUCAGUUUCGAAAAUGCUUUGUCAACAGCAACACACAUUCAAAAUUUUCGGUUUAGUCGCAUAAGUUUUAUUUUGCCUGAGUUAGUAGCACUUUACAACUUUGGCUCACCACUUGGUUCUGUGUUGGAAAAUUCUCCUGAUUUCCUGCCAAAAGGGAAAUUCCCCUCAACAUGAGUGAGUGUGUGUGUGUGUGUUUCUGCGCGCCAGUGGAUGUCCUGUCUAAAUCUAAGCGCAUCCUGCAAGCAUUCCAAAAGCCCAGAGAGCAGCAUCAGCUCCGCUGAACCCUAAACCGUAGAGGGUGCCCCUCCACCGCCCAUCGCCCACUGCCCGCCUAUUGUCGGCGUCGGCGUUGUCUCUGUUGUUGCUGUUGUUGUGGCUGGUGCUUGCGGUUUUGUUUUUGCUGCUAGUUAGCUGCGCUGGCCGAUACAUCUGAUUAACAAAAUUAGUUUAGAAAACUCCGCUCUCGCGUUCGAAACAAACAAAUAUUGUUCGCUUUUUCGACAAAAAUAAAAUGAUUACGAGUUAUUCUUAGAAUUCGGAAUGACUUGAAGAGAA